GACAGAGGGUGCAAACGUUGUUCGGAAUUACUGGGCGUAAAGCGCACGUAGGCGGCUUUGUAAGUUAGAGGUGAAAGCCCGGGGCUCAACCCCGGAAUAGCCUUUAAGACUGCAUCGCUUGAACACGGGAGAGGUGAGUGGAAUUCCGAGUGUAGAGGUGAAAUUCGUAGAUAUUCGGAAGAACACCAGUGGCGAAGGCGGCUCACUGGACCGUUGUUGACGCUGAGGUGCGAAAGCGUGGGGAGCAAACAGG
rnacentral:rRNA from 1 species